GAUGAACGCUGGCGGCGUGCCUAAUACAUGCAAGUCGAGCGAACGGACGAGAAGCUUGCUUCUCUGAUGUUAGCGGCGGACGGGUGAGUAACACGUGGAUAACCUACCUAUAAGACUGGGAUAACUUCGGGAAACCGGAGCUAAUACCGGAUAAUAUUUUGAACCGCAUGGUUCAAAAGUGAAAGACGGUCUUGCUGUCACUUAUAGAUGGAUCCGCGCUGCAUUAGCUAGUUGGUAAGGUCACGGCUUACCAAGGCAACUAUGCAUAGCCGACCUGCGAGGGUGAUCGGCCACACUGGAACGGAGACGCGGUCCAGACUCCUACGGGAGGCAGCAGUAGGGAAUCUUCCGCAAUGGGCGAAAGCCUGACGGAGCAACGCCGCGUGAGUGAUGAAGGUCUUCAGUUCGUAAAACUCUGUUAUUAGGGAAGAACAUAUGUGUAAGUAACUGUGCACAGCUUGACGGUAACUAAUCAGAAAGCCACGGCUAACUACGUG
rnacentral:rRNA from 1 species